rnacentral:lncRNA from 1 species
ACCAUUUUUAUUUUUCAAAAACAAAGCCCAAAAAUCGUGCUUUCUUUUUCAAUUUUUUGAGAUCCAUUUGUUUACUGUUAGAAAAAAGCAAAUGGGACCAUUACUGUCUAGCCAAAAAUCUCCGCAGUCAUAUGCCCCAUUAUAACAAGCAGUUUUCGAAAAAUUGCACCCCACAUUUGAUGACAGAAAAAAGCUAUAGAUCAUCAUAUACACUUGCUGUUGGGUAUUGAAAAUGAUGAUAACUAAAUGUAGAAAUCCUGAUAUAUAUGGAAAGAUUAUAUUUGAUUGUAUCAUUAUAGUUGUACCUUAUUUAGAUUAGGAAAGUAUAUAUUUUUUUCCUUGUUUGAUUAUUCCUUUUUAGUUCCCGGUUGUAAUAUAUAUUUGGACUCACACGAUGUAAGAAAAAACAAUUCUCUUCAAUAUUUAUUUGCAUUUCUAUAUCGUCUCAGAGCCUUUCCUAACCUUGCCAAAACUCGUCAAUGGCAGAACAAUCAGAAAGCAACAACCAUACAAUGACAUCUGAACCUCAAAACAGCGAGACGGAAUCUCAUUCCACCAUGAGCUUAGGAGAAAUGGAUAAUUCUUCAUUCCAACUCACAGUUGAGAGAUUGAAUGGAAAAAAUUAUCAAGAAUGGGCUCAAUCAAUUAAGCUCAUUAUCGACGGAAAGGGUAGACUGGGAUAUCUUACCGGAAAAAAGAAACAACCUGCCUCAACCGACACCACUCUUCAGCAAAGAUGGAGGUCCGAGAACUCGUUGGUGACUGCGUGGUUGAUUAACUCCAUGAACCCAACAAUUGGAAAAACUUAUCUCUUCCUACCGACAGCUAAAGACGUGAGGGAGGCCGUUCGCGAUAUGUACUCUGACACCGAGAAUUCUUUUCAAAUGUUUGAAAUUAAAACUCGGAUGUGGCAAACAAUGCAACGAGAGAGGAAUGAGUUCUCUUUGGCAAGAACUCGACCAAAAUUUGAAGGAAAAAUGGAAUUGUUCGGCAGACAGUGUACGAUACCAAAAGAAAGUGGAGAAUGAGAGAGUGUGAAUUUUUGGCCGGACUAAAUCAUGAGUUGGAUGAUGUCAGGGGUCGAGUCUUGAGUCAACGACCACUGCCGGCGUUGCGUGAGGUGUUUGCUGUGGUACGCUGGGAAGAAACGAGGCGGCGAGUCAUGUUACGAGAUGGAAAGGAUGGUUUGGGUGAGGAAGAUGUGAAUUCAGCCCUUAUCUCUGUUGGAUUUGGGCCUACUGGGGCGGCCCACUUACAUAAAAAAACUGGGUCAGCCCAAACUUCUAUUGAACCGACAAAUAAUGGAUCCAAAUGGGCUAGGCUUACUGAAAUGGGCCCAACUUUUAAAGGAAAUGGGUCGGGAGCAAAACAAAGGGGACAACCAUAGUGUGAUCACUACUAUAAACCAGGACAUAAAGAAGAUACAUAUUGGGAUUUACAUGGGAAGCCACCAAAUUGGAAAUCAAAACAAAAUAGUAGAAAUCGUGGCUACCAAGCAUAUAUUGACCCUGUCGAAGAAAACAACAAUUCCACUUCGACCGGUGCGUUUAAUCUUGAGCAGAUGGAGCAACUGUAUAAAAUGUUUUCAAGUUUUCAAACACCCAAUGCAUCAAGUUCACUAGCUCAAAAAGGUAAUUUUCUUAGAGCAUUGCAUACAACCACCCAACCCAAAACUCCUUGGAUUAUUGACUUUGGUGCAUCUGAUCACAUGACGAAUUCUUAUCAUCUUUUCUUCGCAUACUCCACUUGUGCUGGCAAUAUCAAAGUUAAAAUUGCAGAUGGCUCUCUCUCACCUGUGGCAGGAAAAGGGAGUAUCCAAAUUUCUAAUUCUAACUCUUGAGUCGGUUCUACAUGUUCCAAAUUUAUCUUGUAAUCUAUUAUCUAUUAGUCGACUAACAAAACAUUCCAAUUGCUCAGCUAAAUUUUUCUCAUCUUAUUGUGUCUUUCAGGACUAUCAUCGGGAAAGACGAUUAGUAGUGCUAAGCAAUGUGAGGGACUUUACUAUUUUGAAGAGGCGGACUUGAGUAAACGAAAUCAAAUUGUAACGUGUGAUUCUGCUUUUACUCCUAGAGAUAGUGAAAUUUUGUUAUAGCAUUAUAGAAUGGGUCAUCCUAAUUUUCAAUAUUUACGACAUGUAUUACCUUCCAUAUUUCCAAAUAAAAUAACUGCCAUUCGAUGUGAAAAUUGUGAAUUAGCAAAACAUCAUCGUGUCCCCUUUCCAAAACCUACAUAUAAACCAUCGAAACCAUUCACGUUAAUUCAUAGUGACUUAUGGGGCCCUUCUCGAAUUCCUAGUCGAACCCAAAAAAAAUGGUUCAUCACAUUUAUUGACGAUCAUACUCGAAUAUGUUGGGUUUACCUGCUAAAAGAAAAAUAUGAGGUCCAAACUGUAUUUAUAAACUUCCAUUCUAUGAUCCUGACACAAUUCCAAACAAAAAUUCAAAUCCUCCGAACAGAUAAUGGCACAGAAUACUUUAAUACUACUUUGAAUGAAUAUCUCCAAACACAAGGGAUAGUCCACCAAAUUACUUGUGUUGAUACUCCUCAAUAAAAUGGAAUUGCCGAAAGAAAAAAUAGACCUCCUUCAAGUUGCACGUGCCUUGAUGUUUACCACAUAUAUGCCCAAACUAUUUUGGGGAGAUGCCAUUUUAACAUCAGCUUAUCUCAUAAAUAGAAUGCCUAGCCGAAUUCUCUCGUUCAAUCACCCCUCAAAAAAUUUCAGGAAUUCUUUCUCAAUUCUCAACUUGACUCAAGCUUACCCCUCAGAAUUUUUGGGUGCAUUGCUUUCAUCCAUGUCCAUCCCCACCAUCGUAGUAAGCUUGAUCCCCGUGCACGAAAAUAUGUCUUCAUUGGAUAUUCUGCUACCCAAAAAGGGUACAAAUGCUAUGAUCCAUCUUCAAGGAGGGUAUUUGUCAGCCUUGAUGUCACAUUCUUCGAAAGCACCCCCACUUCAAGCCCUCUCUUCAGGAGGAGAAUCUGAGUGAAGAUCGUCUAGUACAAAAAGAUCAAAUUUUCAACCUUGAUCUCUCAUCCACUGAACCAAUCAUAAAUACCGUCAUACCUCCUUGCCCUAAUAUGCCAUCUACAGAAGGGAACUUAAACUCAGGGGGAGGUGCAGAAAAGCAAGUUAACCAAGAGAUAUUAGUUUAUUCAAGGAAGCCAAAAUCAAUGCACAAGGAGAACCUCACAUCCGAGGCAUCAAAAGAGUCAAAACCGAUGAUAGUUCCAGAUGGGCAGGAGCCUUCAGACAGUGACCUACCUAUUGCUCUCAUAAAACAGCCUCGAUCAUGUACUCUAAACCCAAUCUCAAAAUUUGUUUCCUAUAACACUCUAUCUGCAGGUUCAACACCUUUACCUCUAAUCUUGAUAAAACAGAAAUUUCAAAAAACAUUCAAGAAGCCAUGACUAUUCCCAAAUGGAAAGAGACAGUCCUCAAAGAAAUGCAAGCAGCGAAGAAAAAUGAAACUUGAGACGUGGGAGAGUUACCAAAGGGAAAAAGACCUGUAGGCUGCAAAUGGGUAUUUAACGUGAAAUACGAAGCUGAUGGAAUGAUAGAACGAUACAAAGCCCAUCUCGUAGCAAAAGGAUAUACACAGACUUAUGGCAUUGACUAUACAGAAACAUUUGGCCCAAUAGCGAAGUUAAACAUGAUUCGGGUUAUCUUAUCCUUGGCAGCAAAUUUGGAUUGGCCUCUAAAACAACUUGAUAUUAAGAAUGCAUUCUUAAAUGAGGAAUUAGAAGAAGAAAUCUUCAUGAUGUUACCUCCUGGUUUCUGUAAAAAGGGUGAAGAAAGUAAGGUAUGUAAACUCAAGAACUCAUUGUACGGUCUCAAACAGUCACCAAGAGCAUGGUUCGACAGAUUCGCAAGAGUAUUGAGAAACCAAGGAUACCAACAAGGACAGUCAGAUCAUACCAUGUUUUAUCAACUAUCUAAAACUGGGAUGAAGACAAUCUUAAUUGUAUAUGUUGAUGACAUAAUACUAACUGGAGAUAAUACAGUGGAACUGGAGAGACUUAAGAAGAGCCUAGCAACAGAGUUUGAGGUAAAAGACCUCGGACAGAUGAGAUACUUCUUAGGAAUGGAAGUAGCCCGAUCAAAGAAGGGGAUUAGUGUUUCACAACGUAAAUAUAUUCUUGAUCUUCUUACCGAAACAGGAAUGCUUGGAUGCAAACCAUGUGACACACCGAUGGAAGCAGGAAAAUGGGUAGAAGACACGGGUGCAUUAAUGGAAAAGGAUAGAUAUCAGCGACUAGUGGACAAACUAAUUUAUCUCUCACAUAUAAGACUUGACAUUGCAUUCGCAAUAAGUGUGGUAAGUCAAUAUAUGCACUCUCCAAGAGAAACUCACCUAGAAGCUGUAUACAGAAUCCUCAGAUAUCUCAAAGGCAACCCCGGAAAGGGACUCUUCUUUAAGAAAAAUGGAAGAAAGGAGGUAGAAAUUUUUACUGAUACAGAUUGAGCCGGAUCCAUAGAAGAAAAAAGACCAACUACUGGGUAUUGUACCUUUGUAUGGGGAAAUUUAGUAACGUGGAGAAGUAAGAAACAGAGUGUGGUAGUCAGAAGCAGUGCUGAGACUGAGUUUAGAGCUGUCGCACAAGGAAUAUGCGAAAGACUGUGGAUAAAGAAACUUGGAAGAAUUACAAGCUGUGAUAGAUUUUCCAAUCAAGUUCUAUUGUGACAACAAAGCUACGAUCAAUAUCUCUCUCAAUCCGGUUCAACAUGAUCGAACCAAACAUGUCGAAGUUGACAGACACUUCAUUAAAGAAAAAGUUGAAGACAGAAUUAUAUGCAUGACCUAUGUGCCUACUAUAGAACAAAUUGCAGACAUUUUCACCAAAGGACUGUCUCGACAAAACUUCGAGAAUUUCAUAUUCAAGUUGGAUAUGAUCAAUAUUUACGAUCUAACUUGAGGAAGAGUAUAGAAACCCUGAUAUAUAUGAAAAGAUUAUAUUUGAUUGUAUCAUUAUAGUUGUACCUUAUUUAGAUUAGGAAAGUAUAUAUUUUUUCCUUGUUUGAUUAUUCCUUUUUGGUUCCCGGUUGUAAUAUAUAUUUGGACUCACAAGAUGUAAGAAAAAACAAUUCUCUUCAAUAUUUAUUUGCAUUUCUAUA